rnacentral:rRNA from 1 species
CCUACGGGUGGCAGCAGUAGGGAAUAUUGCUCAAUGGGGGAAACCCUGAAGCAGCAACGCCGCGUGGAGGAUGAAGGUUUUCGGAUUGUAAACUCCUUUUGUUAGAGAAGAUAAUGACGGUAUCUAACGAAUAAGCACCGGCUAACUCCGUGCCAGCAGCCUCGGUAAUACGGAGGGUGCAAGCGUUACUCGGAAUCACUGGGCGUAAAGAGCGCGUAGGCGGGAUAGCAAGUCAGAUGGGAAAUCCUAGGGCUUAACCAUAGAACAGCAGUUGAAACUGUUAUUCUAGAGUAUGGGAGAGGUAGGUGGAAUUCUUGGUGUAGGGGUAAAAUCCGUAGAGAUCGAGAGGAAUACUCAUUGCGAAGGCGACCUGCUAGAACAUAACUGACGCUGAUGCGCGAAAGCGUGGGGAGCAAACAGGAUUAGAUACCCCAGUAGUC